GUUUUUCAAACCCUAUGGUUACGAAUGGGUUCUCCCACUCUGUAAAAAAGCAAGAAAUCGGCGAGAAAACCGUCGGCUGGUGCGAGGUCGUGGGUGGGACGAAAGAGCUGACUUUCCUUUAACGACGGCCGGCGAAAGAGGGUCGACGAUGGACGAGAUGAGAUGUGUUCUUCCGGUUUCGAGAGACGAGUUCUAUGAAGAUCUUGCAUCAGGCCAUCUCCGACGGCACCACCAUCAAAACAAAUGUCAAAUAAGUCGGAAGAUCACAUCUCAUAUUCGUACAUCGUCCACCCGGAGUUCUUCUGCCGGUAGUCGUUGAAGGAAAGACUGCUCUUUCACCUCACCACCAUCUCGCGCCCGGCGACGGUUUUGUUGACUAGUUCUUGCUUUUUGUCCAGAGUCUAAGAACCGGUGCCGGCCUUUCGAUCCACGCGCGAGCCGUCCGCAAAGAAGUAUCCCUCCUGCCCUGGCCGCGCUUUCGCCGUCGCCAACAUCUACGGCACCGAGCUGUGGAAUCUUCUUGGCAGCGAUCGGCAAGAGGGAUCCGAGAAUAGCGACGGCUCGCGCAUGGAUCGAAAGGCCGGAACCAGUUCUAUCAAAACGGUUGAGUCCACGUUAAAAAAGCAAGAACUUGGGUCGAGUCCAUCCCGGCAGCCCAUCUCGGCCCCGGAAGAACCGAGCCUCUUAGGUUUUUCAAACCCUAAGGUUACGAAUGGGUUUUUCCACUCUGUAAAAAAGCAAGAAAUCGGCGAGAAAACCGUCCGCUGGUGCGAGGUCGUGGGUGGGACGAAAGAGCUGACUUUCCUUUAACGACGGCCGGCGAAAGAGGGUCGACGAUGGACGAGAUGAGAUGUGUUCUUCCGGUUUCGAGAGACGAGUUCUAUGAAGAUCUUGCAUCAGGCCAUCUCCAACGGCACCACCAUCAAAACAAAUGCCAAAUAAGUCGGAAGAUCACAUCUCAUAUUCGUACAUCGUCCACCCGGAGUUCUUCUGCCGGUAGUCGUUGAAGGAAAGGCUGCUCUUUCACCUCACCACCAUCUCGCGCCCGGCGACGGUUUUGUUGACUAGUUCUUGCUUUUUGUCCAGAGUUUAAGAACCGGUGCCGGCCUUUCGAUCCACGCGCGAGCCGUCCGCAAAGAAGUAUCCCUCCUGCCGAUCGCUGCCAAGAAGACAUCAGCGAAAGCGACAGCGUGGACAGGGAAGGGUGUGCCGAUGGAGCAGAUACUUCAAGAUGGAUCAGAGUGAUAUCAGCAAAGAAAUAGGAUGGCUGGAUCCAAACAGCACUCAUCAACAAGAAAUCAGCAGCAGAAUAGGGCGGCAAGGCUGCGAAACAAAACAUUCUAGUUAGUGGAGAAGUCAUCAACAAACCGUAGUUCCUUUGACUAUCCUUACUGUUCCAUCGACUACCCUUACUGCUCCAUUGACUACUAAGCUGCAUAAGUCUGUUAGCAAUACUAACUUUGCUUAUUUAGAUCGUGUUACUGAAAAGAAGCUCUUGGGGAAGUACUAAAUGGUGAUCGGGUCGAUGCUCCAUAUGAGUUACAUUUUCUGGAGGAAAAGCAGUUAAAGUCUCUUUGUGAGAAAAACUUAUCAAAAGAAGAUGUUGCAAAGUUCAGACAUGCUGUAUCAAGGGACUGCUACUUUGAAAUGUAUUAUGAUGAUAUGCCUCUAUGGUGAUUCUUGGGCAAGACUUAGAGGGACAAUACUGAUUCGGGCAAAGACAAUCACUUGUUCUUUAAACACAUCCACUUGAAUAUUCUUUACAAUGAUGAUAGGGUUAUAUAGAUCAAUGUCCAACAUUAUUGUGGAUAUCUUGGAGGAUAAGGAAUUGGAUGUAGAGUUUUUAUAUUCUGUUACAUGGAAAAAGAUUGACAUAUCUUUUGAAGAAAGGAUAUUGACCA